CUGAUGUCAGCUGAUGUCAUGUCCCGAAGAUUUCUAGUAGGGCUUGACAGCUGGUGAUGGAGAUGAAUUUGAAGGCGAUAAGAGUGGACAGCAUAGGCAGAGUUUUGGACAGUGGACAAAACGGACUUCGCAGCCACAGAACAACAUGAGUCACUUCUCUUCUGCUUCUGCUACAACGUCAUCUUCUUCUUCUGCUUCUACUGCUGCUGCUGCUUCUUUGCUGAGAAAUCCACACUUUUGGACGUUUGUAGCUGAUUGCUGAUCAUUGCAGUAAUAAGGUGUUACAUCUAUUCAGGUUUACAGUGAAACGUUCACUGUCGGAUAGGCCCACAAAAAAAACCGGGCACUAACCUCAACGUCCAAUACUGGCACCUGGCUCCAAGAGGUCCUGCCCCCCCCCAAUGUAGUGAGUGGUCCCACCCACGCCAAAGGGCGCAUUGAGCCUAAC
rnacentral:lncRNA from 1 species